rnacentral:sRNA from 1 species
UGACCUGAUGUUGCCCUGGUAGACACGUUCGGAACGGUGUGCUGAGGGUGAUUCAUUUGCCAGCAAUCCGACCCGGAUAACACCCGUGGAACCAAGUUGAGGCCAGCAGGUGUGUUGGAAUCCGAUUCACGACGCAACACCGGUUGCUGUAUACCUUCCAUCUCAUGAUUAAAAUCGGUACACCUCUUCAAUGUCCGGUUUUGUAAGUAGUUAUUAUUAGUUUUCCUCAUUUCAAACUUUUCUGAACUUUUGGCCGGUAGCUUGAACUCAGGGGCAGGAGAAGAUGCGAGGUUCAUGGGAACUAUUCGACCUCCUGCAGUGACUCUGUGAUGUUUGGGUGACGCAUGUUCCUUCAAAAAUCGGGCGAAACCUGCAUCGCUUUGGGCAAGGUUACCUUGGGGCGCGUUUAAUGGUUGGCGACGAGGAUACUGAACACUAUUGGCCUGUGAGAGCAACAAUCCGUCCUCGUUACUCAGAGAAAAGCUCGAGGAGAUUCGGUGACGGUUAACCGGUUUUUCUACCAACACCCGAUUCUCAGAGUGUUCUUUCCGGUGUCUUAGAGAAGCGACUGUGAUAUCUGUCAGCUUGGCGUCAAAAGAAGGGAUGAUUUCAAGGUAAACAAGAAGAUAUUACACACCAUCGAUAGUAUUACAGCUGUA